CAGAUAAAGAAAUUAAGGAUUUGACCCUAGGAUUUAAUCCAGAACAAAAACUAGAUGAAUUAGUAGAUAGAUUAAAAAUCUUAAAUAUAGGAUCUACAUCGGAAGUAAAAAUUAACACUUUAUCAUUUGAAAAUGAAGAAGAAAAUAUUAUUUCUCGUUUAGACAAAGCCCCUCGACCUAAAACUCGAAAUUAUUAUCCUAGGCCUUCCUUUGCUGAUGUUCAGUUUGAGGAAAGAAAUAGUUUCAUCGGAGAUAGUUACUCCGGAGACUGUAUUAUAGAAUGGAACAUAGAUGGUGCAUCUG
rnacentral:lncRNA from 1 species